CCUACGGGGGGCAGCAGUGAGGAAUAUUGGUCAAUGGACGAGAGUCUGAACCAGCCAAGUAGCGUGAAGGAUGACUGCCCUAUGGGUUGUAAACUUCUUUUAUAUGGGAAUAAAAUGUUCCACGUGUGGGAUUUUGUAUGUACCAUAUGAAUAAGUAUCGGCUAACUCCGUGCCAGCAGCCGCGGUAAUACGGAGGAUCCGAGCGUUAUCCGGAUUUAUUGGGUUUAAAGGGAGCGUAGGUGGAUUGUUAAGUCAGUUGUGAAAGUUUGCGGCUCAACCGUAAAAUUGCAGUUGAAACUGGCAGUCUUGAGUACAGUAGAGGUGGGCGGAAUGCGUGGUGUAGCGGUGAAAUGCUUAGAUAUCACGAAGAACUCCGAUUGCGAAGGCAGUUCACUGGACUGCAACUGACACUGAGGCUCGAAAGUGUGGGUAUCAAACAGGAUUAGAUACCCGGGUAGUC
rnacentral:rRNA from 1 species